UACGAAGGGGGCUAGCGUUGCUCGGAAUUACUGGGCGUAAAGGGCGCGUAGGCGGCACUGUUAGUCAGGUGUGAAAUUCCUGGGCUCAACCUGGGGACUGCGCUUGAUACGGCAGAGCUUGAGGAUGGAAGAGGGUCGCGGAAUUCCCAGUGUAGAGGUGAAAUUCGUAGAUAUUGGGAAGAACACCGGUGGCGAAGGCGGCGACCUGGUCCAUUACUGACGCUGAGGCGCGACAGCGUGGGGAGCAAACAGG
rnacentral:rRNA from 1 species